rnacentral:rRNA from 1 species
ACGAGAUCUUCGGGUCUAGUGGCGCACGGGUGCGUAACGCGUGGGAAUCUGCCCUUUGGUUCGGAAUAACAGUUGGAAACGACUGCUAAUACCGGAUGAUGACGAAAGUCCAAAGAUUUAUCGCCAGAGGAUGAGCCCGCGUAGGAUUAGCUAGUUGGUGUGGUAAAGGCGCACCAAGGCGACGAUCCUUAGCUGGUCUGAGAGGAUGAUCAGCCACACUGGGACUGAGACACGGCCUAGACUCCUACGGGAGGCAGCAGUGGGGAAUAUUGGACAAUGGGCGAAAGCCUGAUCCAGCAAUGCCGCGUGAGUGAUGAAGGCCUUAGGGUUGUAAAGCUCUUUUACCCGGGAUGAUAAUGACAGUACCGGGAGAAUAAGCUCCGGCUAACUCCGUGCCAGCAGCCGCGGUAAUACGGAGGGAGCUAGCGUUGUUCGGAAUUACUGGGCGUAAAGCGCACGUAGGCGGCUUUGUAAGUUAGAGGUGAAAGCCUGGAGCUCAACUCCAGAACUGCCUUUAAGACUGCAUCGCUUGAAUCCAGGAGAGGUGAGUGGAAUUCCGAGUGUAGAGGUGAAAUUCGUAGAUAUUCGGAAGAACACCAGUGGCGAAGGCGGCUCACUGGACUGGUAUUGACGCUGAGGUGCGAAAGCGUGGGGAGCAUACUAGGAUUAGAUACCCUGGGAGAUCCACACCGUAUACGAUGAUAACU